rnacentral:rRNA from 1 species
GAUGAACGUUGGCGGCAGGCUUAACACAUGCAAGUCGAGCGGAGAUGAGGUGCUUGCACCUUAUCUUAGCGGCGGACGGGUGAGUAAUGCUUAGGAAUCUGCCUAUUAGUGGGGGACAACAUUCCGAAAGGAAUGCUAAUACCGCAUACGUCCUACGGGAGAAAGCAGGGGAUCUUCGGACCUUGCGCUAAUAGAAGAGCCUAAGUCGGAUUAGCUAGUUGGUGGGGUAAAGGCCUACCAAGGCGACGAUCUGUAGCGGGUCUGAGAGGAUGAUCCGCCACACUGGGACGGAGACACGGCCCAGACUCCUACGGGAGGCAGCAGUGGGGAAUAUUGGACAAUGGGGGGAACCCUGAUCCAGCCAUGCCGCGUGUGUGAAGAAGGCCUUAUGGUUGUAAAGCACUUUAAGCGAGGAGGAGGCUACUGAGACUAAUACUCUUGGAUAGUGGACGUUACUCGCAGAAUAAGCACCGGCUAACUCUGUGCCAGCCGCCGCAGUAAUAC